AGCCUAAACCAGUGAGUAAUCACUGGCAUGGUGAAGAAGUCUGAUUAGAGCCAAAGAACCCAUCAUAUAGGGUUUGCUCUAAUCAGCCAUAUCGGGAAACUGGUAUGGAGGGUUAAAACCCUC
rnacentral:sRNA from 12 species